GGGCAUCUGGCCGAGUGGUUAAGGCGCUGUGUUUAGGCCAGGCGAGAGCCUAUCUGAACGAUCAAAUGAUCCAAAAUCCGCAGUGGGAAACCGCGCAGGUUCGAAUCCUGCGGUGCUCA
rnacentral:tRNA from 1 species